CCCAGUAAACGGCGGCCGUAACUAUAACGGUCCUAAGGUAGCGAAAUUCCUUGUCGGGUAAGUUCCGACCCGCACGAAAGGCGUAACGAUUUGGGCACUGUCUCAACGAGAGACUCGGUGAAAUCAUAGUACCUGUGAAGAUGCAGGUUACCCGCGACAGGACGGAAAGACCCCGUGGAGCUUUACUGUAGCCUGAUAUUGAAAUUCGGCACAGCUUGUACAGGAUAGGUAGGAGCCUUUGAAACGUGAGCGCUAGCUUACGUGGAGGCGCUGGUGGGAUACUACCCUAGCUGUGUUGGCUUUCUAACCCGCACCACUUAUCGUGGUGGGAGACAGUGUCAGGCGGGCAGUUUGACUGGGGCGGUCGCCUCCUAAAAGGUAACGGAGGCGCUCAAAGGUUCCCUCAGAAUGGUUGGAAAUCAUUCAUAGAGUGUAAAGGCAUAAGGGAGCUUGACUGCGAGACCUACAAGUCGAGCAGGGUCGAAAGACGGACUUAGUGAUCCGGUGGUUCCGCAUGGAAGGGCCAUCGCUCAACGGAUAAAAGCUACCCCGGGGAUAACAGGCUUAUCUCCCCCAAGAGUUCACAUCGACGGGGAGGUUUGGCACCUCGAUGUCGGCUCAUCGCAUCCUGGGGCUGUAGUCGGUCCCAAGGGUUGGGCUGUUCGCCCAUUAAAGCGGUACGCGAGCUGGGUUCAGAACGUCGUGAGACAGUUCGGUCCCUAUCCGUCGUGGGCGUAGGAAAUUUGAGAGGAGCUGUCCUUAGUACGAGAGGACCGGGAUGGACAUACCUCUGGUGUACCAGUUGUCGUGCCAACGGCAUAGCUGGGUAGCUAUGUGUGGACGGGAUAAGUG
rnacentral:rRNA from 1 species